GCGGCGGACGGGUGAGUAAUGCCUAGGAAUCUGCCUAGUAGUGGGGGAUAACUUGCCGAAAGGUAAGCUAAUACCGCAUACGUCCUACGGGAGAAAGCAGGGGACUCUUCGGAGCCUUGCGCUAUUAGAUGAGCCUAGGUCGGAUUAGUUAGUUGGUGAGGUAAUGGCUCACCAAGACCGCGAUCCGUAACUGGUCUGAGAGGAUGAUCAGUCACACUGGAACUGAGACACGGUCCAGACUCCUACGGGAGGCAGCAGUGGGGAAUAUUGGACAAUGGGGGAAACCCUGAUCCAGCCAUGCCGCGUGUGUGAAGAAGGUCUUAGGAUUGUAAAGCACUUUAAGUUGGGAGGAAGGGCAGUUAACUAAUACUUGACUGUUUUGACGUUACCGACAGAAUAAGCACCGGCUAACUUCGUGCCAGCAGCCGCGGUAAUACGAAGGGUGCAAGCGUUAAUCGGAAUUACUGGGCGUAAAGCGCGCGUAGGUGGUUCGUUAAGUUAGGAGUGAAAGCCCCGG
rnacentral:rRNA from 1 species